GUGGGGAAUCUUGCGCAAUGGGCGAAAGCCUGACGCAGCCAUGCCGCGUGAAUGAUGAAGGUCUUAGGAUUGUAAAAUUCUUUCACCGGGGACGAUAAUGACGGUACCCGGAGAAGAAGCUCCGGCUAACUUCGUGCCAGCAGCCGCGGUAAUACGAAGGGGGCUAGCGUUGCUCGGAAUUACUGGGCGUAAAGGGAGCGUAGGCGGACAGCUUAGUCAGAGGUGAAAGCCCAGGGCUCAACCUUGGAAUUGCCUUUGAUACUGGCUGUCUUGAGUUUGGGAGAGGUAAGUGGAACUCCUAGUGUAGAGGUGAAAUUCGUAGAUAUUCGGAAGAACACCAGUGGCGAAGGCGACUCACUGGCCCAAUACUGACGCUGAGGCGCGAAAGCGUGGGGAGCAAACAGGAUUAGAAACCCGUGUAGUCC
rnacentral:rRNA from 1 species